CACGUAGGGUGCGAGCGUUGUCCGGAAUUAUUGGGCGUAAAGAGCUCGUAGGCGGUGUGUCGCGUCGGCCGUGAAAACUUGGGGCUUAACUCUGAGCGUGCGGUCGAUACGGGCAUCACUUGAGUUCGGCAGGGGAGACUGGAAUUCCUGGUGUAGCGGUGAAAUGCGCAGAUAUCAGGAGGAACACCCGUGGCGAAAGCGGCUCUCUGGAACGGUACUGACGCUGAGACGCGAAAGCGUGGGGAGCGAACAGG
rnacentral:rRNA from 1 species